rnacentral:ncRNA from 1 species
CAAACAGGGGAGCUUUCAGAAAGGCUGAGAGGGAGCUGUGCGCUCCGACCCUUUGAACCUGUCGGGAUAAUGCCCGCGCAGGAAGCUU